AUGAGGAAACUGAAGCAAACAGUUAAGUGACUUGCCCAAAGAACACAGCUAGACCAGUUAUGAGAUUAGAGAUCAUCACCCAUCUGAGGAGAAGGCAACACCAUACUUACUCACCAGAGGACAGCUUCUGCAUUACUUCCACAACCAGGCCUCUAGUCAACAUUACGUCCAGCUCAGCGACGACAUCCUAAAAUAACAUAGAUAAUGAUCCCUAAGAGUGUCUGCUGGAAAUACUCUCCUCACGAUAGAACAAGACAAAAGAGUUUUCAAGUUCCCCAGUUGCAUCCCAAACCUGUACCAUUAAGACUACAAUUACCCAAGAGCUCUCAUGAUCCCAUGAAUAACUCCCUUAGACAUGAGUUACCUACACCCUGGACAAAGUUACCAGGCAACCAAAAACACUCCAAUGAAAUCCUUGAAAAUUCCAAAGUCCAAGGAUUCCAACUUCUGUCAAGAUUUUAGGAGAUCUUCAAAGGAAAACGAACAAGUUUUAAGUCCUUUUCACAUUGACCUGGCUCCCUUAGUGUUCAGUGAGCAGCUAUAUCCAUUUACUCGAAAGAGUCAUGCCUCUAAGGAAGUAGAUAUUCCUGUACCUCUUUGGUCUUCUUAGUCCCAGUGACUUAAUAAAUCUCUGAUUGUAAAUCA
rnacentral:lncRNA from 1 species